AUUGAACGCUGGCGGCAUGCUUUACACAUGCAAGUCGAACGGUAACGGGCCGCAAGGUGCUGACGAGUGGCGAACGGGUGAGUAAUGCAUCGGAACGUGCCCAGUCGCGGGGGAUAACUACUCGAAAGAGUAGCUAAUACCGCAUACGAUCUAUGGAUGAAAGCGGGGGACCGUAAGGCCUCGCGCGAUUGGAGCGGCCGAUGUCAGAUUAGGUAGUUGGUGGGGUAAAGGCUCACCAAGCCAACGAUCUGUAGCUGGUCUGAGAGGACGACCAGCCACACUGGGACUGAGACACGGCCCAGACUCCUACGGGAGGCAGCAGUGGGGAAUUUUGGACAAUGGGCGCAAGCCUGAUCCAGCAAUGCCGCGUGCAGGAAGAAGGCCUUCGGGUUGUAAACUGCUUUUGUACGGAACGAAACGGCUCUGGUUAAUACCCGGGGCUAAUGACGGUACCGUAAGAAUAAGCACCGGCUAACUACGUG
rnacentral:rRNA from 1 species